rnacentral:misc_RNA from 1 species
CAACCCUCAAGCCCUGCUUGGUGUUGGGGCCCUAUAGCUGUUAUAGGCCCUGAAAAUUAGUGGCGGGCUCGCUAACACUCCGAGCGCAGUAGUUAAUUUCUCGCUUAGGACGUUUAGCGGGUUCUAGCCGUUAAACCCUAUUUUCAAGU